rnacentral:rRNA from 1 species
GAUGAACGCUGGCGGCGUGCCUAAUACAUGCAAGUCGAGCGAACAGAUGAUGAGCUUGCUGCGCUGACGUUAGCGGCGGACGGGUGAGUAACACGUGUAUAACCUACCUAUAAUACGGGGAUAACUUCGGGACACGGGAGCUUAUAGCAGAGAAUAUAUUGAAGCGCAGUGGGCAAUAGUAAAAUACGGUGUUGCGGUCACUUCUAGCUGGAUCCGGGCCUCAUUGUCUAGUUGGUAGGGUAACAGGUUACGAAGGCAACGAUGCGUAGACGACGGGAGAGGGUGAUAGGCCACAUUGGAGCUGAGCCACGCACCAGACUCCUACGGGAGGCAGCAGUCGCGAACGUUACGCAAUGGGGGAAAGCCUGACGGAGCAACGCCGCGUGAGUGAUGGGGGUCUUCGGAUCGUAAAAACCUGUUACUAGGGAUGAACAAAUUUGUAAGUAACUAUGCCCUUAUUGACGGUACCUAAUAAGAAAGCAACGGCUAACUACGUG